rnacentral:rRNA from 1 species
ACUCAAAUGAAUUGACGGGGGCCUGCACAAGCGGUGGAGUAUGUGGCUCAAUUCGAUGCAACGCGAAGAACCUUACCUGGCCUUGACAUGUACCUAGUAGAAGGGUGAAAGCCUGACGAGAUAGCAAUAUCAGGGUACACAGGUGCUGCAUGGCUGUCGUCAGCUCGUGUCGUGAGAUGUUGGGUUAAGUCCCGCAACGAGCGCAACCCUUGUGUCCUGUUGCCACUCAGUCGUAAGACUGAAGCACUCUGGACAGACUGCCUCGCUUAAACGAGGAGGAAGGUGGGGAUGACGUCAAGUCAGUAUGGCCCUUACGGCCAGGGCUGCACACGUACUACAAUGCCCGGCACAAAGGGAAGCAAGAGCGUAAGCUGGAGCAAAUCCCCGAAAACCGGGCUCAGUUCAGAUUGUCGUCUGCAACUCGACGACAUGAAGCUGGAAUCGCUAGUAAUGGCGCAUCAGCUACGGCGCCGUGAAUACGUUCCCAGGCCUUGUACACACCGCCCGU